rnacentral:rRNA from 1 species
ACUCCUACGGGAGGCAGCAGUGGGGAAUAUUGCACAAUGGGCGCAAGCCUGAUGCAGCCAUGCCGCGUGUAUGAAGAAGGCCUUCGGGUUGUAAAGUACUUUCAGCAGUGAGGAAGGCAGGUACGUUAAUAGCGUGCUUGUUUGACGUUAGCUGCAGAAGAAGCACCGGCUAACUCCGUGCCAGCAGCCGCGGUAAUACGGAGGGUGCGAGCGUUAAUCGGAAUUACUGGGCGUAAAGCGCAUGCAGGUGGUUCGUUAAGUCAGAUGUGAAAGCCCGGGGCUCAACCUCGGAAUUGCAUUUGAAACUGGCGGACUAGAGUACUGUAGAGGGGGGUAGAAUUUCAGGUGUAGCGGUGAAAUGCGUAGAGAUCUGAAGGAAUACCGGUGGCGAAGGCGGCCCCCUGGACAGAUACUGACACUCAGAUGCGAAAGCGUGGGGAGCAAACAGGAUUAGAUACCCUGGUAGGAUAGCG